CUGGCUGUGUGCCUAAUACAUGCAUGUCGAGCGAUGCUAGCAAUAGCAUAGCGGCGAAUGGGUGAGUAACACGUACUCAACGUACCUCUUAGAUUGAGAUAGCGAACGGAAACGUUCGAUAAUAUCAAAUACUUAUUAGAAUCGCAUGAAUUUAAUAUAAAAGGAGCGUUUGCUCCGCUAAGAGAUCGGGGUGCGCAACAUUAGCUAGUUGGUGAGGUAACGGCCCACCAAGGCGAUGAUGUUUAGCGGGGUUGAGAGACUGAACCGCCACACUGGGACUGAGAUACGGCCCAGACUCCUACGGGAGGCAGCAGUAGGGAAUAUUCCACAAUGAGCGAAAGCUUGAUGGAGCGACACAGCGUGCAGGAUGAGGAUCCUAUGGAUUGUAAACUGCUGUGGUAAGGGAAGAAAAAGUAGUGUAGGAAAUGACAUUGCCUUGACGGUACCUUAUUAGAAAGCAACGGCUAACUAUGUGCCAGCAGCCGCGGUAAUACAAAGAAAGAG
rnacentral:rRNA from 1 species